AUUGAACGCUGGCGGCAGGCCUAACACAUGCAAGUCGAACGAGUGGCGGACGGGUGAGUAAUGUCUGGGAAACUGCCUGAUGGAGGGGGAUAACUACUGGAAGCGGUAGCUAAUACCGCAUACCAUCGGAUGUGCCCAGAUGGGAUUAGCUAGUAGGUGGGGUAAAGGCGCACCUAGGCGACGAUCCCUAGCUGGUCUGAGAGGAUGACCAGCCAAACUGGAAAUGAGACACGGUCCAGAUGCCUACGGGAGGCAGCAUUGGGGAAUAUUGCACAAUGGGCGCAAGCCUGAUGCAGCCAUGCAGCGUGUAUGAAGAGGGCCUUCGGGUUGUAGAGUACUUUCAGCGGGGAGGCGUUACCCGCAGAAGAAGCACCGGCUAACUCCGUGCCAGCAGCCGCGGUAAUUC
rnacentral:rRNA from 1 species